rnacentral:rRNA from 1 species
CCUACGGGAGGCAGCAGUGAGGAAUAUUGGACAAUGGGCGCGAGCCUGAACCAGCCAAGUAGCGUGAAGGAUGACUGCCCUACGGGUUGUAAACUUCGUUUAUAGAGGAAUAAAGUGAGGCACGUGUGCCUUUAUGUAUGUCCUUUAUGAAUAAGGAACGGCUAACUCCGUGACAGCAGCCGCGGUAAUACGGAGGAUCCGAGCGUUAUCCGGAUUUAGUGGGUUUAAAGGGAGCGUAGAUGGGUUGUUAAGUCAGGUGUGAAAGUUUGCGGCUCAACCGUAAAAUUGCAAUUGAUACUGGAAGUCUGGAGUACAGUUGAGGUAGGCGGAAUUCGUGGUGUAGCGGUGAAAUGCUUAGAUAUCACGAAGAACUCCGAUUGCGAAGGCAGCUUACUAAACUGCCACUGACAUUGAUGCUCGAAAGUGUGGGUAUCAAACAGGAUUAGAUACCCCAGUAGUC